rnacentral:rRNA from 1 species
AUGGCGAUGACCUCCGUGCUGAUGAGAACUAGAAGAUGCUUUUCAGCGUGUCUGUCGCAGCGGUCGUUGGUAGUUGCAGCCCGUGGCCGUCGGUUGGAGCAGCAGGGAGGAACCACUCUGCUUUCCCAUGUCUAUGAGCCAUCCAGACCGACUGUAUUCAGAGAAUCAAUCCGGCAGGAUUACUGGGAAGUUGUUGAAAGAAGGGUAUUUACUGUAACCGGUAAUCGCCCUGAUGAAGAGACAAUUGACGAUUUAAUCAAGACAGGGCGAGGCGAGCAAAUUUUCAAAGAUGCGGUUCAACAGCAGGGGAGAGGCCAGGAGCGGCAUGAUGCUGUAAGAGAUCUUGAGAGGAAGCUUCUGGAGUUGCAACAGGCUACCUUUCAUUUGCAUAAGCUCUUAUGCAAUAUAUUCCUGGGUAUGUUAGUAUUGGUUGAGUCUCAAGGAGAAAUGAUCAACCACAUAGAGACACAUCAAGCUAACGAAAUGUUCGCACCAUGUUUUUCCAAGGUUUCACAUGCUGCCGACCACAUACAGCAAGGUGUGGAUGCUCUCCAGAAGGCACCCACCCAAGAUCGACCUGACAAUGGAUGUGCUACGCCAUCAUCAUUCUCCUGA